GAUGAACGCUGGCGGCGUGCCUAAUACAUGCAAGUCGAGCGAAUGGACGAGAAGUUUGCUUCUCUGAUGUUAUCGGCGGUCGGGUGAGUACCACUUGGAUAACCUACCUAUAAGACUGUUAUAAUUUCGGGAAAUCUGCGCUAAUACCGGAUGAUAUUUUGAACCGCAUUGUUCAAAAGUUAAAUACGCUCUUUCUGUCACUUAUAGCCUGAUCCGCGCUGCAUUAGCUAGUUGGUAAGGUAACGGCUUAGCAAGGCUACGAUGCAUAGCCGACCUGAGAGGAUGAUCGACAGCACGGGAAAUAAGACGCGGGCCAGAAUCGUACGGGAGGCAGGAGCAAGAAAUCUUACGGAAGGGGCGAAGGGCUGAAGGAGCAACGGCGCGUGAGUGAUAAAGGUCUUCGGAUCGUAAAACACUAAUAUUAGAGGAGAGCAUAGGUGUAAGUAAGUGUACACAUAUGAAGGGUGCCGAAUAAGAAAGCCACGGCUAACUACGU
rnacentral:rRNA from 1 species